rnacentral:lncRNA from 1 species
AAUUCCGUUGAUAUUAUAUUAUUUAUCUUGGUCUGUGAGCAAUGAGCAUAAACUGUGAAGAAUGGAGUGAGGUCAUGGAUGAAGUAUUCCUAAUCCUCAGGAAUACCUAAUUCAUGGUGAGGUUGAGCCAAGUCAUAGCCAGAUGAUUAUCAACUUGUACUUGUAGUCAUGGUAAUGUGGUCGAUCAAAGCAAAUGAUGAACUGAACUUUUUAAAUAGGUAUCUAUAACCUAUCCAAAGAGAAGAACAUGCUGUAAAGCUAGAUUUCUCAAUGUAAGCAGUCUGUUCCAAGCACUGUUCUUCUGAAAAUGUUCAUCCAGACAUCCGACCAGCAACCUAUUCAGUGAUGCUGUGGCUGAUGGCGGAGGCAAAGCACCAACUGUUCUUGGUGCCUGGUGUGUGCACAAGUAGAUGAGUGCCGUUCAUCGCCGCCGUCUUCCUGGACCUUCGCUCAUCGCCGUCGUCUCGGUCGGAGCCUGCAAUUCGGUCGUCGCCGUCUGCCGGGGCCAGCCAGCUCCAGAUUGAUUCCUGCCUAUCGCCGCCGUUUGCGGGGACCUGCAAUGUCGCUGCCGUCGUCAGCCAGAGAAGCUGGUCACAGUCAUCGAAGAGCAGUGAUCUCCGCCGUUCGAAGAGCUGUGUAAUAUAUAUCAUGUGUUGUCGCCUGUCAGUCCCCAGUGGAGUUCUCAUGUGCUGUCCGUCGACUGGCGAGUCCCAUGAUAUGACAUCUGAGGAUCACCCACCGGCCACCGUUUACCGGCGACUCUGAGGGCCGUCAGCCCCGAGUCCCUAGAUAUCCUCAGCUCGCACCCGGCAGCAGUCUCUGUCGCAUCUGGAGUGUAUUCUAUUCUAAAUACUUGAUGCAUUGCGCUGCUUCUUGUGUUAAUCUGUUGGGAAACUUGGAAAGUGUUAACAACGGUAUAUGUGGGAAGUGGAAGCCGUGUAAAGUCGUCUGCGUAUUCAUUUCAACGGUGGUUAAUGCGAAGUGAUAUUGG